rfam:Stegodyphus mimosarum contig68860, whole genome shotgun sequence.
GCAUUCGUAGUAUAAUGGUCAGCACACUCGACGCGUAACCGAGAUGUCCGUGGUUCGAUUCCCGGCGAAGGCG